CUCUCUCUCACACACACACACUGCGAAACUUGGGAGUUGAUUGAGCAGCAACUGGUACCAGGCGUUUGGAAGUGAGCGCUGACGAGCUCCUGUGACUGAAAGUAGCGUCUUUCGACUGAGAAAAGUCCACCUGCGGGAAAAACUAUGGACGCCAAGAGAGUGGAGACCAUUUCUGCCCGGGUGGAUGCUGUUGUGUCGGCACCUGGUUACCCUCAGAUUGUCCACAAGCGCGGGGUGAGAGCUCGACUCAUGAGGCUCUUUCCAUGCUCCACAACCAAAAAGUCAUCCUCCAGUAAUCAAAACAGCGUUGAAGAUGAGCUUGAGCUAUCUGCAGUCCGUCAUCGCCCCGAGGGCCUGGAACAGCUUGAAGCCCAGACACGCUUCUCCCGCAAGGAGCUACAGAUCCUUUACCGUGGCUUCAAAAAUGAAUGCCCCAGUGGAGUCGUCAACGAAGAAACUUUUAAAGAGAUCUACUCGCAGUUCUUCCCACAAGGAGAUGCUUCGACAUAUGCGCAUUUCCUGUUCAAUGCAUUUGACACAGAUCACAAUGGCUCUGUGAGUUUUGAGGAUUUUGUUAUGGGCCUUUCGAUCCUCCUGCGAGGCACAAUCCAAGAAAAACUGAACUGGGCUUUCAACCUGUAUGAUAUCAACAAAGACGGAUAUAUCACUAAAGAGGAAAUGCUAGACAUCAUGAAGGCCAUCUACGACAUGAUGGGAAAAUGCACGUACCCUGUCCUCAAAGAGGAGACGCCUCGCCAGCACGUGGAAGUAUUCUUCCAGAAGAUGGAUAAGAAUAAAGAUGGAGUGGUAACCAUAGAUGAGUUCAUCGACUGUUGCCAAAAUGAUGAAAACAUCAUGCGAUCAAUGCACCUGUUUGAAAAUGUUCUUUAACUUUUGGCUGACUGUGGAGGCUUUGGAAGAGACCAUCAUCUUUAGCUUUGCCCAGUAACUGACUUGGACUCAUACCGUGUACAUUGUGCUAUGCAGACUUUUGACCGUAGAUAAAAUAAUGUUCAUUACUGUGGGCCACAAGUAGGAAUAGGCGAUAUGGUGCGAACACUCUGGAGUCGGUUGCCUUUUGAACAUUUUAUUGAGUAAGUGGAAUUGUGUUUCAUACAAACGAAUGGAAAGGAGAGGUGGGGGGGUUUGCUUUUCAAAAUGAAAACAUCUUAACUUCAACAUUGAUUUCCACCAAAAGUCUCUGGAGUGGACUUUCUGUUUGCUGAACACAGAGUUCUGCAAACUGCAUUAGCCUCCGACAUUCUCAACACAAGGCUGAAAAAAAAACACCCAAAACGCUUCCUUCUAUCUCUGUUCGCUUGAUUUAUUUACUGCCAAGUGAGAUCACUGUGACUUUUUACAGCAUCAGAAACAAGCAAACAAACAAACAAACAAAGAAAAAUAGUAACACUGAACAAAAUAUCUGACGUCUCUUUUUUAACGUUCCAGAGUGGCUUUCAAUUCCAGAGUGUUCUCACCGAGACUUAGUGAAGCAUCGCGGUCUGUCUUUUUGCUCUUUGAAGGAAGCGUUUAGAGAAAAACAAAAGAAGAAGAAAAAAAAAAACACAUCUGUUGUACCAUUUUGAAUUGUACAUACUAUAGAUAAAGCAUUAGAUAAGAACUCAAUGAGAUACCUUUUCGACUUUGUUCAUGUUUACUUGCCAACUAGAACGAGACAACACGAGGAUUGUAUUGAUGUCAACAUCGGACCAUAAUAUCGAUGGUUUGUCCACAGAAGCACACACGUAGCCGUAUUUACCUCCAGCUGCCCACACCCAUACAGCGCAGUCUGGUUCCUGCUGUCUACGAUUUCAGCAUUUCUAGGGCCCCAAAUGUGAACAAAAACAAGGCAUGCUGGGUAGAAGUCUCGCUCAUUGACUCUUCCUCUGGCCCAUUGGAAACUGAUGGGUCACUGAGAGAAGAGUGGGAACAUCUAAGUAAGUUAGUGAGUAUUCACAGUGACUUUUUUUUUUUUCUUCUGUUUUCACAAUGACCUGGAUGUGGGAGACAGGAAGUAUCAAAAGCAGCUGGGUACUUAAGGAGCGGCUGUCGCAGAAUAUGACAGUCUGUAGUGUCGUUCUUCAUCCAUAAUAUGUCCGGUUGCAGGACGUGUAACGGACGUACAAACCCCCUCGGUGGGGCAUGUUGGCAUCUGUUGAUUUACUAAAGGACAUUGCAUGUUUUUGUGUUACUGGAGGUAAUAUGUAUAUUUCCAUCAAGAAAGGCAACAAGCCUGCCAUUUUUUCUUCCUUCCUUGAUUUGUGUUUGUGUGCCUUACUGUUUGUAAAAUGUUAUGUUUAUGUCUGGUUGACAAUUCAAAAAUAUGAUAUGGAAGAUGAAAAGUAACUGAUAAAAUAGGGGGAGGGGACAGCACCUACUUCAAAACAUAUCUACAAUAUGCUCUGGUGGAUGAAUGAAACUUUUUGCUGAAUACAAUGAAACGUUUCUACACGUCUUCUGUAAAUAAUAUCUAAAAGCUCCAAAGUCGGCUAUCUCUGACAAAAGUGGGGAAAAAAAAGAGAAUAUACACCUCAGAUUUUCACAUUUGUGUUAACAUUAAAGGUUGUACAAGACUACAUGUUUGCAUAUGGUGAUCAAAACUAUGCUAUAAUAACACCAUUUAGGAAACAAAACAUCACUAUUGCUUGGUUAUUGAUUUUCAGCGAGUAAAUCUGGGAAAUCUAUAUUAAAGUAUCAUGUUGUCUGAAUGUUUACUGGUUUAUUCAAACAUUUGAUUCAGUGAUGGCCACGCGACACAUGCCACAUUACAGAUUUAUACGCUCAAAGCUUUUAAUUUUUGGAGAGGAUGUGAACUUAAAUGUGUCUCGACAUGUAUGGAGAGAAUACGAUGCCAGUGCAUGUUUUAGUUUGAUUGAUACAAAAUGAAGCAGAGACUAAUCAAUUAAAUGUUCAGAGUAUUUCUCCUUUUUUAUCAACCAUUUUCUGUCCACCGUCACAGUCAGUAGUGGUGUACUAUCCAAAAGGAGCAGAUUUUUCUGAUUUGGCAGACAGGAGUCAUCUGGCGCCCUCUUGUGGUAGCAGUAGGAUAAGACACACACUGAGAUUAAAGUAUUUUGCCACCUGGACUGCAUUAAAGACCAUGAAACACAAAAAUGACUAUUGUUUGCUGUGUGUAAAUUUAUUUUAGUGUUCAUUUGUACUUGAAUGUUCAAUUGUAAAAAUUGUCUUCAGACAUUUUCUUCACAAACAGGUCAGAGUUUUCUGUGAAUAUCUGGACAAACAUAUUUGAUUCAUCUUCUGUACUGAAAUAAAAGUAGCUGUCAAGGCUUAAAAAAAAAAAAGAAAGAAAGCAGCCGUAUUUCUGUCAAGAAUUUAAUUUCAGACAAAAUUUGGUUGACUGUUUGGAAUAAAAUACACAUGGCACACGGAGCCCAAGAAUUUCUACAAAUCUCAAAAAAAAAAACGACCGUCCAUCUUUCCAGUUCAAUUGGAAUCACCUCGUCCAACUUCUGAUAGUUAGGUACUCAAAUUACCUGAGUUACGUUUGCAUACAGACCAAAACGAUUAAAACCAGCCGUAGACUUCUUGCACAUGUUUUUUUUUUUUUUUAAAACAACUGUUACAUCAACUUAAGGCAGAUGGUACCGUUUUGAAAACACCAGUUGUGUAUUUCACAUACAGACUUUGUGAAGGCCACACAUAAACAAUAUCACACAAAUGCAAAUGCAUGAAUUACACAGAAGCAAUUUCUUUGAUUAAAAACAAGCUAUACAUUACAGUAUGAUGUUGUUCCUGUGCUGAAACUCAAAGCUGAUGUUACAUAUCAUUACAGACGAUUUUGCAGAGUAUAGUUGGAGUAAAAAGAUUUGACUGAACUUUGAGCUUCCUUCGCACUAAAA